rnacentral:tRNA from 1 species
GGGGAUUUAGCUGAGUGGUAGAGCGUUUGCCUAGGAAGCGCAAGGCCCUGGGUUCGGUCCCCAGCUCCG